rnacentral:rRNA from 1 species
CCUACGGGAGGCAGCAGUGAGGAAUAUUGGUCAAUGGGCUUACGCCUGAACCAGCCAAGUCGCGUGAGGGAAGACUGCCCUAUGGGUUGUAAACCUCUUUUGUCAGGGAGCAACGCCGGCUACGUGUCGCCGGUCUGAGAGUACCUGAAGAAAACGCAUCGGCUAACUCCGUGCCAGCAGCCGCGGUAAUACGGAGGAUGCGAGCGUUAUCGGGAUUUAUUGGGUUUAAGGGGUGCGUAGGCGGAAUGCCAAGUCAGCGGUAAAAUCGCGGGGCUCAACCUCGCUCCGCCGUUGAAACUGGCGUUCUUGAGUGGGCGAGAAGUAUGCGGAAUGCGUGGUGUAGCGGUGAAAUGCAUAGAUAUCACGCAGAACUCCGAUUGCGAAGGCAGCAUACCGGCGCCCAACUGACGCUGAAGCACGAAAGCGUGGGUAUCGAACAGGAUUAGAUACCCUAGUAGUC